CUCGUAGGCGGUUCGUCGCGUCCGGAGUGAAAGUCCAUCGCUUAACGGUGGAUCCGCGCCGGGUACGGGCGGGCUUGAGUGCGGUAGGGGAGACUGGAAUUCCCGGUGUAACGGUGGAAUGUGUAGAUAUCGGGAAGAACACCAAUGGCGAAGGCAGGUCUCUGGGCCGUUACUGACGCUGAGGAGCGAAAGCGUGGGGAGCGAACA
rnacentral:rRNA from 1 species